GUGCUCGCUUCAGCAGCACGUGGACAAAAAUUGGACGAUAGAGAGUAAUCGGCAUGGCCCCUGCGCAAGGAUGACGGACACAGUCGUGAAGCGUUCCACAUUUUU